rnacentral:ncRNA from 2 species
GGCAGUGACACGGGGUGCCCCACGGGGGCUGAGAACACACCCGUCGAACCUGAUCUAGUUCGUACUAGCGAAGGGAUGUCGCGAAUGGUCGUU